ensembl:lncRNA LOC102550644 uncharacterized LOC102550644
UGAAACUGAAUGACAAAUGGCUUCACUCUGAAGCAACUAGGAUCAACAACUCAGAUCUGGAUGGUGACCUGUAGUUUACAAUCCCAUCAGAAGAGUUGAGCUGGUCCUUUAAGGAGGCUGGCCAGAAAAUUGAAAAGAAGUCCAGAUGAUCACAGAAUAAGAAGAAACUGAGUCACAGCUGACGUGCUUCAUUGAUUAGGAUUGGACAUCUAACAAGGCUAUCACUCAGAGCACCGGGAUCCUAGUGUGGGUUUUCACAGUUCAUCUCAGAAUGGAUUUGGGGUAUGAAGAACGUGAUCACAGUUCCUAUUCAAGGUUCUCCUUUAACCUAAAAACCAUCCUAGCUGAAGAUCAAAAGAAAGAUUGGCAUUGAAUGAAGUACUGACUUAUACAGGACACCAAAAACACCAGAUCAGCUUAGUUUACCUUUCUGUGUGAUCAGACCUCCACACGUCUUCUCCUUUCUUCACCAACUUGCUACUCUGAGAGGUCUUGCACCCUGACGAUUGCAAGCAUAGCC